GACAGAGGCCUCAAGCGUUAGGCGGAAUCACUGGGCUUAAAGCGUGUGUAGGCGGAUCGUUAAGUGUCUUGUGAAAUCCCACGGCUCACCCGUGGAACUGCUGGGCAUACUGGCGAUCUUGGGCCAACUAGGGGCAACUGGAACAAGCGGUGGAGCGGUGAAAUGCGUAGAUAUCGCUUGGAACGCCAAAGGUGAAAACCAGGUUGCUGGGGUUGUGC
rnacentral:rRNA from 1 species